GCAGUAGACUUCCCUGGAACUCAGAUAUGACUUCAUCAAAAAGACGGCUUAACUGUUAACAUAUCUCCCAGCUUGCUCCGUCAUUAGACCUCUGCUACCCUGCCAGAUGUCAGAAAGCAGAGGGCUGCCAGGAAGAGACAGCUGCAUCCUGUCUUUAGAAGUGGAGAAAUCUAGAGAAGAAGGUUAUAUACUGUUUCUGGUCCCUCAGUAAAUCAAGGCGCUGCUUCUAUAUUUCAAUGCAUGUCCGUGUGUCUUGUGUGUCUUUGUACUGCUUUAAGAUGGCUUUCUGUAGAAGAGAUGGCUCUUAGGGAUGGGAUACUACCCAUUACACACAAGACAAGUCUCAAAGGAAAUUGCACCUAUCUUUAGAAGCUGGCUGCAGCAUCUGCCUGAGAGACUUGUCUCAGGAGAACUGAGUUUGAAUGUUGCUUAGAUUGAGGGAAUCAGUGUCUCAGCAGAUGCUUGUUUUCAUCACAGAACAGACAAACUUGCCAUUUGGGUUGCAAAUCCUGGGAAGGAGGGACUUCUGCAGAGAGGGUGCUGUAGGUCAGGGACAGCCAAAUGUUCUUUGGGGCCAGAUGAGUCCAUCAAAGCAGAAUUCUCUGGUCUCCAGCAACGUGGUUCAGCUGACAGCCUAACCAAAUUGCAGGUAGGAGCAGGAAACGCAGACUCAGCUUAGGUUUAGUGCAGUGCUUUUUAGGGCACUGCAUAACCAUAUGCAUGUGAGGUAUCAUUCCAGAUUCUGGCCCCAGCUCAAGACAUCUGGAUCAGUCCCUUCCCCUAGCAAGUGUUCCUCUUGCUCCCUUCCCAGCCCACUUAUAAAAUUUCGGCUAAACAGGUAAUAGCAUCAUGGGGCUGUGAUCCCAGGAGGGAUCCCCAAGUGCUGUGUACACACACAACACAGUAGGAGAACUGUGCUGGUAAGAAACACAGAAGGAAUGGAGGAAGCAGAGGGCUGUGGGAAUCUCUCCAAGGUCUCUUAAUUCUCAGCCCAGCAUUCACUCCGGAGGAUUAUACUAUUGCUUAGUUCAGUCCCAUCCAUUUAAUUCAGGUUUCUCAGACCAGCAUAAGGGCCAUGUGUGUGUCUGUCUCAGCACGUUGUCUCUCAUUUCACCUCGGGGAUGUAUCUGCCAUGUCCACCAGUUGCAUGUGACUUGUUCUGUAUGUUCUCUCCAGGAAGAAAAAUCAACUAAAGUUUGAAAGAAAUGGUUACUUAAAUUUAGGGAAUUUUUCACACUUGUGCGUUGAGAUCACUUUUGACAUAGUUGUAACUUACUCCUUUCUAGAGAGGUUUAGCAGUCCAAAGUCCCUUUUCACUCCUGAUCUAAAGCAGAGUGAGCUGCUGUGGAUACACUUGCAGGGGCUGGAGGCACUUCAAGGAACAUAUUGUAGACAUUUUCCUUUCUCUUACUUUUUUAAUUUAAGGGGAGCCAAAUGAUAAAAGCCUAAUGUUAGUGCAUUACUUUCUUGCAUUAAGAUCUCCCAGUGGCAGGCAGUUUCCUGAACCAAGGCCUAGAAUCUUGACCCACUUCUGCUUUGUGCCUGUGCAGUCAGAUGCAGGGCAUGACAUCUCCAGACUCCCGGGAAGGAAUUUCAGCUCCCUCUGAGGUGGUGUGGGACACAUCGAGCAUGAUGCAAGGUCCCUGGCUGCUCUGGGGACAGCAGAUCUCUGUGACUGUUCUACUACAUGGACCUGUCCCAGGCAACCUGGAGAGGACAAGGGAAACUGGUCUACGUAGGCAAGAGCCUUCAGCCUGGCCCUUCCUGUUAUUGUCCCGCCACACAUCACGCCUGUUCCUGGAGAACCUCCCAAAACGCUGCUGAGCGCUACAGAGCUAUGUUCAGGGCUUUUUUCCACCAGUAUGAGCCAGUGGGAUUGCUGUGGUGUCACUGGGGCACAGCACAGCCAGAAGAGAGUUGCUGCAGCAUUUCACUUUCCCACAGUAUCCACUUCCCAGCUGCUGUGAAACUCCCAAGGCAGGACCAUCUCUCUGAGCCUGUCUGAGGCCUGCUCACGAAUUUUCAACAGAUAGAUAGAUGAGAAAAAGUUGAAACAACAAAUGCUCAUUCCCCUGUGAGCAUAAGGAGA